rnacentral:rRNA from 1 species
CCGCUGAACUUAAGCAUAUCAGUAAGCGGAGGAAAAGAAAAUAACAAUGAUUUCCUUAGUAGCGGCGAGCGAACAGGAAUUAGCCCAAUGCUGAAUCCUCACCUUUGGUGCUAGGAAAUGUAGCAUAAGGUACCGCUCCAACGGCAUGAUGUUCACUGUUUCAAGUCCACUUGAUUGUGGCACUUAGCCCAGAGAGGGUGCAAGGCCCGUAGAGACAGUACAUCUUGUCAGGAGUGGUGCUGUGAGUAGAGUUGCUUGGGACUGCAGCUCAAAUAUGGGUGGUAAACUCCAUCCAAGGCUAAAUACAACACGAGUCCGAUAGCGAACAAGUACCAUGAGGGAAAGUUGAAAAGAACUUUGAAGAGAGAGUUCAAUAGUGCGUGAAACCGCUCAAAGGGAACCGGGUAGAGCUGAAGGAGGCUUGUCAUAUUUGUACUUUGUCGUAGCCAUGGCAGUGCGGAGAUUUCUUGCUCGGCUGUUGUGUUGCGGUGUUGUACUAUUGCGACUUGCUGACACCACGUUCAGUAGGUACAUUGGCCAGACUUGGAUAGAAAGGUAGUUCACUUCGGUGAAUGUUAUAGGCCGUCCAUUCUGCGCCAGUGGAGUACUGUAAGAAUGCAGUGUGUUAACGGCAGGCUGAGGUACGUGGCUUGUGAUUUGUCUCAUAAGAUACAUUUUGCAUGUCCAUGUGCUUUGGAUUGUCCUCUUUUCACAUUGUGAAAAACUGUGGUGGAAUUGUAGGCAUUCUACCCGACCCGUCUUGAAACACGGACCAAGGAGUUUAACAUGUACGCGAGUCAUUGGGUCAUACGAAACCUAAAGGCGUAGUGAAAGUAAAGGUUAGCUUAUUGCUAGCUGAGGUAGGAUCCUGGUUUCAUUGGGCAGUGAUGCACAUGGACUAGGCGCACUACCAGCUCGUCCCAUGCUUUAUUAAGUGGGGCGACGCAUGAGCGUACAUGUUGAGACCCGAAAGAUGGUGAACUAUGCUUGCGUAGGGCGAAGCCAGACGAAAGUCUGGUGGAGGUCCGUAGCGAUUCUGACGUGCAAAUCGAUCGUCAAACGUGAGUAUAGGGGCGAAAGACUAAUCGAACCAUCUAGUAGCUGGUUCCCUCCGAAGUUUCCCUCAGGAUAGCUGGCACUCGGGAAACAAACAGUUUUAUCCGGUAAAGCGAAUGAUUAGCAGUAUUGGGGAUGAAAUAUCCUCAACUGAUUCUCAAACUUUAAAUGGGUGAGACGCUGAACUCGCUUAAUAUGGAGUUUGGCAUCGAAUGUGAGUGCCUAGUGGGCCAUUUUUGGUAAGCAGAACUGGCGAUGCGGGAUGAACCGAACGUCUGGUUAAGGAGCCAAACAUAACGCUCAUGAGACACCACAAAAGGUGUUGGUUGAUUUUGACAGCAGGACGGUGGCCAUGGAAGUCGGAAUCCGCUAAGGAGUGUGUAACAACUCACCUGCCGAAUCAACCAGCCCUGAAAAUGGAUGGCGCUGUAGCGUUGGUCCUAUACCAGACAGUUACCACGAGACAUGUGUGUGGUAACUUGUAGGAGGGCGCAGUGGUAAGCAUUGAAGCCUAGGCCGUGAGGCUGGGUGGAGCUGCCACUGGUGCAGAUCUUGGUGGUAGUAGCAAAUAUACAAGUGAGAACCUUGUAGACUGAAGUGGAGAAGGGUUCC